CCUCAGCAGCCAAUGGUAUACGAGGUCGGGGCGGCGCCACUCCAGCUGCCGCCAGGGAAGGGGGGGGCGGAGGCGACACCGGGUCUGGCAGGGGAGGGGGGGAUUGGGCCUGGCUGGGCCCAGCCGGAGCCUCCUGCCGCCUGGAUCGACCGAGCGGGGAGAGCGCCCCCUCCCCGCGGGCCCAGCCCAAGCCCGGCCACGACUGGCCAUGGGCAACGCGGCCACGGCCAAGAAGGGCGGCGAGAUCGAGAGCGGCAGGCAUAACAGGUUCCUCUUCAUAGACAGCUGACUCUGUUAAGCACAAUGAACGCUACUUAAUUCAGGAGACAGAUGGAUGGGUUCCCUCAAAGGAAGCUGCAGAAGGAGCUGCAAACUGAGUUGAGCAGGCAGGCAGGAAGGUGGCCCUCAGACGAAGAUACUAGCAACAAAGCCGAAAGUAUAUAUGUAGUUUACCUAGAUGGAAGACAGAGUUCUGCUUGGACUGCUUUUCUGGAAGUGGAAGGCAGGAUUUCAUAGCCAUUAGUAGACUCUCUCAACAUGGCUAAACUGCUGCAGAUACUGUAAUAGGACCUCAUGAGGAUAAUCUACAACUCUUCCCCUCUCCCCCGUCUUUCUGGGGAAAUUGUGGCAUGCAUUGGCAUACAUCCAUCAGAUAAUUUAACUUUCCCAUUUCAAACAAUGGUAACUUGCUCUUAAUCUAGAGGCCCAUUGUCUCGUUAGCUUUGGUGUUGUCUGCCGCAUCUCAUCUGAGCAGUGAGCAUACAAACCCUUGGCCUUUUUUCUGUGCUAGAUGGUUUUAGACUAAGCUUCUUAUGCACCUCAUUCCCUUCUAUGUAUUUCACCCGCUUCAUUGCAGUAUGGACUUAAGAGAGAGAAAGAAGCAAAAGUAUAGACUGAUAGUGAGAAAUAAUUUGUACAUGAUGAAACAGCGAGUCUGCAGUAGAGCAGAGUAUUCAACCAGGUCUUGUAGAUGUUAGUUCUGUGCCUUAAACAUGGAAUCGCCCAUCACUCCUCAAGUCUCAUCAAAGCAGGAGGAAGAUCAGAAAAGCCAUAUUGUGGGUGUAUCUGAAAUUUUGCAAAGCAAGAGAAAGGAACAUCUUAAACUACUGGAUCACGUCUUCUCCUGGAAUAAGGGAAGCAACCUGGAAACUCUGGCUAUAUUCUCUGCUUAUGGUACAUGCCAGUGUUCCUUCUAAGGCGAGCGCAUGUGCGCACGCACAUGUUUUUUUAUGUCCGCUCAGUUAAUUUUAGAUCCCGCUCAGUUUGAAUCAGGAAAGCCUUAUUCUGAAUUCUUGUGCACAUACACUGCCUUGAUACUGCUGCCCAGAAUAAAACUCAUUCUGCAUACUGAUGGAAAAAAACACUGGUGCAUGCUGGCUCAAUAUUUGCUUCAGCAUGUCAUCUCUACAUCCUUUCCAAAAUGGUGGGCUUCCUGUCCUUGAUCAGACAAUAAGCCAUAGCUUAUUUUAGCAUCUAGAUACCGUAGAAAUAAAUCUUCCUGAGACUGGUGGUGUUCAAAAUGCCCCUUUCCCAAAGAGAUUCGUGUCUGCAGAAACCAGGUACAGAGACACUGUGACAAGAUGACCUCUGUAGAUUGGGUCUACUAAUACUCCCUGUAGAAGGGGAGUGAAAUAAGCAGGGCAUGUAGUAUUAUUGACAGCUGCUACUCCACCAUUGUCUUUUAAGGUACUUGUGAUACCUACUGCCAUGAUGUUUGAAUACACAGCAUUUUAUUAACUUAUUGCUCCGCCCAGUACUUUAUUCCUUGCCACAGCUGUGAACAGUAUCCAGGAAUUUAGAGACGCUGUACUAAUAUUGAAAUGAGGCAAUAUUUUUGGAGUUCCUGAACACCUAACCCCUGAUUCAUGUUCCCUUCAUUAACUACAAAGCUGUAUCCAGAGCAAGAAUGAGAACACAAAUUCUGCAUUCAAAAUAAAUUGCAUAAAUCAA